GACGAACGCUGGCGGCGUGCUUAACACAUGCAAGUCGAACGGUAAGGCCCUUCGGGGUACACGAGUGGCGAACGGGUGAGUAAGACGCGGGUGAUCUGCCCUGCACUUCGGGAUAAGCCUGGGAAACUGGGUCUAAUACCGGAUAGGACCACUGCCUGCAUGGGUGGUGGUGGAAAGCUUUUGCGGUGUGGGAUGGGCCCGCGGCCUAUCAGCUUGUUGGUGGGGUGAUGGCCUACCAAGGCGACGACGGGUAGCCGGCCUGAGAGGGUGACCGGCCACACUGGGACUGAGAUACGGCCCAGACUCCUACGGGAGGCAGCAGUGGGGAAUAUUGCACAAUGGGCGCAAGCCUGAUGCAGCGACGCCGCGUGAGGGAUGACGGCCUUCGGGUUGUAAACCUCUUUCAUCACCGACGAAGCGCAAGUGACGGUAGGUGCAGAAGAAGGACCGGCCAACUACGUGCCAGCCGCCGCGGUAA
rnacentral:rRNA from 1 species